CUUAGCGAAACCUGGUUUCGCUCUUUACAGCUUUUAUUGGAACUGGUUAUUUUGCGGCACCGCCCAAUUACGGAGUGUAUCUGCACUGAUCUCCUCCUAAUCCCAGUCUGAGAGUCUCCGUCUUGCUUGGGAAGAAAAUCGAAGUUCGUCUAGAGUGUUCUUCCUUCUCGAGUGGAAAGCGUUUACUCUCGGUGAAGCCAGAAGAAAGUUCGAAGGAAAUAGCGCCUUUCUCCACGAAAUCCGCUCUGCGGGAUAUUUCCAAUACCUCCUGAGUUGCAGUGCACUUUCCCCACCUCUCCCCAACCCCGUAUCCCCGCCAGUAUUUCCUGAGACAGCCCGGAGAAGGAGAGGUCCUGGGUGUCCCCGGCACUUUACCGCGUCCCCAUCCCCCCACGCCAGAGGAGUAGGGAGGCGGGGCUGGGCGUGGGGGCGGGGGAACAGAGGCGCCCAGCGCUGCAAGGAGGCGCAGGGAGCUUCCCAGAACCACCGCCCGCCCCGCUCAGAUUUCACGUCAGGUCCUGUAAGGCAGACCCAAAUUAUUUGAAACACUAGAGUGCUUCGGCAUGAAUGACCGGGGACGCGUACCAGGUCCAGGCGGUCACAGGCCUGCACCACCCGCCUGGUCCAGGGGGACUGGGCUUUAUUCUGGCCUUAGAGGAGGGAGUGCGGCUUGGACCGUCCUGCCGCCCUGUCUCGCCCAGCCUGGGAGAAGCCUGGCUGUCUUGGACGCGGACUCCGCUGAAUUUGGCCUGGGUUCAAGGGCAGAUUAUCUGAGUCUCUAAGCUGAAACUGAAAUAUCAAGUCCCUUAGCCUUUUCUCUGGGAACCAGAUUGGCCGGGUUGUUGCCUCUAAUUGUAAGGAGGAGAGGCUCUGAAGGUAUUUCAGCUGUCACCAGGAGGGCAGAGAUGUGAAAGAGGGCUAAGCCCAGGAAACCUCAGAGAUGGAGCACCAAUUUUGCUUAUGCUUAAACUCCAGUCUCUGCCUCUUCAUCGGAGGGCACUCUCCCCCUGUGUUUCUG